GUUGUGAAAGCCCCGGGCUCAACCUGGGAACGGCAUCCGGAACGGCCAGGCUAGAGUGCAGGAGAGGAAGGUAGAAUUCCCGGUGUAGCGGUGAAAUGCGUAGAGAUCGGGAGGAAUACCAGUGGCGAAGGCGGCCUUCUGGCCUGACACUGACACUGAGGUGCGAAAGCGUGGGUAGCAAACAGGAUUAGAUACCCUGGUAGUCCACGCCGUAAACGAUGUCGACUAGCCGUUGGGACCUUUAAGGACUUAGUGGCGCAGUUAACGCGAUAAGUCGACCGCCUGGGGAGUACGGCCGCAAGGUUAAAACUCAAAUGAAUUGACGGGGGCCCGCACAAGCGGUGGAGCAUGUGGUUUAAUUCGAUGCAACGCGAAGAACCUUACCUACCCUUGACAUCCAGAGAAGUUGGCAGAGAUGCCUUCGUGCCUUCGGGAGCUCUGAGACAGGUGCUGCAUGGCUGUCGUCAGCUCGUGUUGUGAAAUGUUGGGUUAAGUCCCGUAACGAGCGCAACCCUUGUCCUUAUUUGCCAGCACGUAAUGGUGGGAACUCUAAGGAGACUGCCGGUGACAAACCGGANGAAGGUGGGGACGACGUCAAGUCAUCAUGGCCCUUACGGGUAGGGCUACACACGUGCUACAAUGGCCGGUACAAAGGGCUGCGAGAUCGCGAGAUGGAGCGAAUCCCAGAAA
rnacentral:rRNA from 1 species